rnacentral:lncRNA from 1 species
GACCUUGAAUCUGCAAAUAUCUGCUAACAGAAAUUAGUAUUCUUACAAGUAAGUCCCUUCUUCUCCAUAAAGCUAUCUAGUUAAAGAUGAGAAGGCAUAAGGUCAUUUCACACUUACUGCUCCGUAGCCCUUUAAAACAUUCCCAACUAGUCCUUCAUGUCUAUUUCAGAGACUAAACGAUUGUGGUACAUCUCCUUUAAAGGAUGCAGGUAUGACUAGCAAUGAUAACUAACAAAAAGGCAUUUUUAAAAAAAACCUUAUAAAUCGACAGCUGCAGUGUUUUUUCUCUUUGUCCCGACAAAUUGAAUAAAAACCAAAGUAAUGAAACAAUUCUAACCUGGAAUUUCAAUGAUCCCUUUUGAUAAAAUGUAUUAAUCAGUUGUAUCUCACAGUGUCCUAAAUGUUGAAUUUCUGGAAUUUACGUGUAGACCUAAUCAUUUAGCAAUUUAUCAGUGCUGUUUUAAUUAAAGUCAAAUCUGCUUCUUACUACAUUAUGCUUAAGAAUAACAGCACAAUUGAAAAACCUUAGAAUAUGAAUAUACUUCAUUUUCUAAUAGACAAGCUGAUGAAAAUCCCUAAUUGCAGUUCAGAGUAUAUGAAGUUAAUUGGAGCUCCUUGAAGCCCUCAUCAAAACACUACCUAAAGUCAUAUACAAAAGAUGUUACACAUCCUUGCAGUGUGCCUGUGUCAAGUCAUUAAAGAGCAAAUAUGGAGUGCUGCCAAAAUCAGAAAGAAUGUAUUUAUGUGGGAAUUAAGAACAACAACUACAAUUUCAAAACAUCAAAAGUACACAAAGGUUUAUCAGAUGAAAAGGAACAUUUGUAUAGGAAAAAUCCCGAUGUAUUGGACCUCAUUUUCCAGCAGAGUCUCUUCUGAACUCACUGAUGGUUUUCUAAGGAUGCAGAAUUCCUUAUUACCAGCAUCAUCAUCAUCAUCAUCAUCACCACCACCAUCACUACAAUCAUCAUGUUUGUUUUUUCUUUUUUAUCCCCUGAACAAGAAUUGCAUACUCCUUGUAUGAUUUCCAGAAACAAAAGUUUAUACAAAAUAAAAUUAGUACUCCUCUCA